ensembl:lncRNA
AUGGUGUGUAUACGUGGCAGCCAUGUUUUCCCUUUCAGAUUGUCGCUUGUGUCAAUAGCUGACAGGUACAACAUAAAUAUGCACUUUGAUGAGAACAACCAUUUGAUCUGGAGAGACAUGAUCCAGCCCAUCACUGAGAGUGGCCCUAAAGUAGAGGUCAGGAGGUUAAAGUGUCCAUUACUGAUGGUCAUUGGAGAAGCUGACCAGAACUGUGCCACUACAGAAUCUGUCCAGGAUAUGCGCAGUACAGUAUGUUGGAGAGGGCAGGGAACCUGUGUCUUACCCUGGGGCUGGUCAACGGAUCAAACCUUUCUACACUCCUCACUUCCGCUCCAGAACCUCCAGGGGUAAAGUGAUCAUGUUGUGGGGAGGGGAGUCCAAAUGGAGGAGGAUCCUGGAGUUCCUUCAGAAGAACCUGUACCAAAGACAGGACCCCUCUGUCCCCUCAGAGCUGUCAGAUCCUCCUGGACUAUCUCCAUUAUUAUAGUCGUCGCUUCUCCAGCUUCAUUAUCUGUCAGGGCCCUAUUCUUGAAAUUAAGUAGAGACAAUAUUGGUUGGAUUUGUUUUUACUCACCAGGUGGCAGCAUUGCACAGUCUCUUAAAUGACUGGUCUGCUGCUCGUAGGUGUCAUAGUAGUCAAUGUCCUGACAAUUACAAGGAGGAAGAAGAGGAGAUGGUCGACAUCGGCCUUUCAUCAAAGUCCUUAUAGGGAAGCCUUUCUGUUUAAAGGAUCAGACCUUGGCUGCUCGGUCACGGUUGAGUUGCGGUCUUCUAGCCAGUCUGGUUUGGAUUCCAAACUCCUGUGAGGUGACAUGAAGUGUUAUUGAUCUCAGCUGAGUUGGAGAGAAUGAACACCGCUGCCUUUAACUCUCAUCAACUGCAUACUUUUUUCUUUUUUACAUGUCACCCAUAUAUUCUCACUCCAGAUUCCAUUCUGGCAAAGGGGACCGAUGGCCUAAACAUCUCCAUGUGUUGCACAUAUAUUAAACCAAUAGCCUGGUCUGGAUCUGCUUGUGCUGUAUUGCUCCUAUGGUCAUUAUCAUCCCAAACAUCGUCAUGCACAAACAGAUCUGGGACUACGUAGGCUACUAAACCAAUGCCUUGUCUCGUGAUGAAGGAUAAGUUCCCAAUCUGGCAACCUGCCAUGCCAUUAAACUAAGGCCUUGUCUAGUGAUGAAGGAAAAAUACCCAAUCUGGCAACCCGCCGUGCUGUUAAACCUUUACAGACUCAGCAGCCUUGUGGUGUGACUUGGCAUCCCCCCNNNNNNNNNNNNNNNNNNNNCCCUAUUAUUUUGAGGAGGAAGUAAUCCAGCGCCUGUAUCCCAUGCAUCAGACACACUCUCCGGCCCCGCCAUGAAAAACAUUCCACUGGCAGCCCCUCAGCACGGCCAAAAUGGGCCAAAUUCCUACUUUUGAAACUCCAUUGAAAGAAUAUGUUCAUGUUGUGAGUCGAAAAAAAGAGGAAUAAUAGAUUAAAGCGAUUUUCAAAGAAAACAUUUGCAUUAAUCAUUGUCACACAUGGCGGCGGUAGAGAAGAGGACGGGGUGGAGGGGUUUAGAUGGUUCUGGUUUGGUUCAGAUGUUCUGAUUUAUGAGCUAUAGAGCCAAGCACAGUGUGAUACUAUUACCCAGAUAAUGAUGCCACCUAGUGACCAUGGCAAUGUACAAACCCUGUAACUCUGGUUAGGGUCCAUGCCAUGUUACGUGGGCAGCCCACAGAACACUAGAUCUAGAAUCCCUACUCCCCAGGGGCUGAUAGUGAGGUAGGAUUUUAGAAAUGUGACCCCACCCACUUUUAGUACAGAGGUGGUAGGGAGGGUUGAAAUAUGUC